GACGGGGGAUGCAAGCGUUAUCCGGAAUCACUGGGCGUAAAGCGUCUGUAGGUGGUGAUGCAAGUCACUGGUGCAAAACUCUGGCUCAACCGGAGGAAAGCCAGUGAAACUGCAUGACUAGAGUGUGGGAGAGGUAGAAGGAAUUCCCUGAGUAGCGGUGAAAUGCGUAGAUACAGGGAAGAACACCGGAGGCGAAAGCGUUCUACUGGAACACAACUGACACUGAGAGAGGAAAGCUAAGGGAGGGAAUGGG
rnacentral:rRNA from 1 species